UACAGAGGUCCCAAGCGUUGUUCGGAUUUACUGGGCGUAAAGGGUGUGUAGGUGGUCGGGUAAGUCUCAUGUGAAAUCCCGCAGCUUAACUGCGGAACGGCAUGGGAUACUAUUCGGCUCGAGGAUUGGAGGGGGGACUGGAAUUCCCGGUGUAGCAGUGAAAUGCGUAGAUAUCGGGAGGAACACCAGUGGCGAAGGCGAGUCCCUGGACCAACACUGACACUGAUGAGCGAAAGCCAGGGGAGCAAACGGG
rnacentral:rRNA from 1 species